UACGUAGGGGGCUAGCGUUGUCCGGAAUCAUUGGGCGUAAAGCGCGUGUAGGCGGUCCGGUAAGUCCGCUGUGAAAGUCGGGGGCUCAACCCUCGGAUGCCGGUGGAUACUGUCGGGCUUGAGUACGGAAGAGGCGAGUGGAAUUCCUGGUGUAGCGGUGAAAUGCGCAGAUAUCAGGAGGAACACCAAUGGCGAAGGCAGCUCGCUGGGAAGUUACUGACGCUGAGACGCGAAAGCGUGGGGAGCAAACAGG
rnacentral:rRNA from 1 species